GGACAGGUGGCCGAGUGGUUAAAGGCAGCAGACUGUAAAUCUGCCGGGCUACGCCCUACGUUGGUUCGAACCCAACCCUGUCCACCA
rnacentral:tRNA from 15 species